GCAAUUUUGAGUUUGCUUUGAAUUGCGAUUUCAGACUUUGCUUGAAAUUUAACUUGCUUCUGGGUGUUUCAAUUUUUUAGGGUUCUUCUCCUAAUUCAGCUAAACCAAAGAUCUAAUAGCCUUUUGGAAGCUCGAUUCUCAUAUCAAAGCACCAUUCCUAGAAGUUUUAAAAAUGUUUGAUUUUUCUAGGUUUUCUUUCUCAAAACCCCCCAAAAAGAGAAAAGAAAUCGGAGGAAAUGGUGGGGCAAAAAAAGGCAAAAGGGAUGGUAAGUUCAAGGGAGAAGAAGAAGAGUAUACUCUUGAUGGAAGUGUUGAUUUGCAAGGCGAACCGGCAAUCCGAGAAAGAACUGGCAAAUGGGUUGCUGGAAUUAUCAUCCUCUGAAUCUUACUUAGUACAUUCUACACACAUGAUCAAUUGUAUGUGGGAUCCUAUAAUUUGCAUCUUUUGUGUUCCAAAACUGGAGAAUUGUUUUCCUGGUUUUUUGCUUAUUGUUAGAUGGAUUAGGAUUGUUUGUCUUUCAGGAGUUGCUGACAGUUUAACAACAGCUUGCAUGAAGAUGUGAAUCAGUGACCUUCCUAUAAAAUUAGCUUCAAGGACUGUCCAUGUUUGGUUAUUACCGGUGCAUAGUAUUUGUGACAUUUUUGUUUAAAAAUCAUGUAGGAAUGCACUUUCUUUUUAUUCAAAAUUCCCAUUUUAGGAUGGAGAAAAAGAUUGAGGAACAAUGGAAUGUAUCUCAUAAUUUACAUAUUAAUCGACCAUAUCCGUAGUUCCUCUGUGAUAAGUGUUUGUUUGUUGAGCAAUAGGUUGCACAUGAGAAAUGCGGGGGCAUGGUCUCCCCUCUAUUA